UCUUGGGCCACUCCCAUGACAUAUGGAGGUUCCCAGGCUACGGGUCGAAUUGGAGCUGUAGCCGCCAGCCUACGCCACAGCCAUAGCAACUUGGGAUCCGAGCUGCGUCUGCAACCUACACCACAGCUCAUGGCAAUGCCAGACCCUUAACCCACUGAGCAAGGCCAGGGAUCGAACCUGCAACCUCACAGUUCCUAGUCGGAUUCGUUAACCACUGCGCCACUAUGGGAACUCCUUAAUCUUCUCUUCUUACAAAGACAUCUGUCAUAUUGGACUAGGACCCACCCAUAUAUCUGACCUUAUUUUAUCAUUCUUAGCUGUUCAAAGACACUAUCUCUGGAGUGAAGUUAAGGAUCUGGCACUGUCACUGCAGCAGCUGGGGGAUGCUGCUAUGGCAUGGAUUUGUUCCUGGUCCACAAACUUCCACAUGCCAUGGGUGUGGUCAAAAAACAAUAAUAAAGACCCUGUCUCCAAAUACAGCUAUAUUCUGAGGCACUGUGCAUUAGGACUUCAAAAUGUGAAUUGAGAGGGGACACUAUUCAGCCCAUAACAAUUAUAUUUCAUUCUAAGGGAAUAUUAUCAACCAAGUGAGGAAUGCUAAAUGUCUUAAGAUCUCUGCUUCCUCACUUCUCUACAAGCUGCUUGUCAUUUUAUGGGGUUAUUAAUAUCUCCACCAGCCAUCUAGUUGAUGCUAGGAGGAUGUAACUCAAAAUCAUUUUAUUAUUUACUCAGAUACGUUUUCUUCCUCAUUUAUAAGUAUUGUAAAGUUAAUACAAGUCAGAAAAAAUUUUGUCUGGUAUUUCACCAACCGUAAUGAAGUAUACUCUAACAUUUAUAAUUGCUAGUUCAGUUAAGUACUAUGUAAGAAUUCACAGGUGAUAUUGUUAUAAAAUAAUGAACCAGAUGGAAACGUUUGCCUCAUUACUUCUUGGUUAUUUCCCAUAAAGUUAAUACUUCACUACCUGAAUGGUUUGGAAGAGAACAACUCUUCCUUUGCUGAAUCAGGGAAUCUGAUUAUCACACAUCAUUAAUCUAAUGACAAAGAGCCUUUUUUAAAAAAAUGAGUAGGUCAAACAGUCUUAGUGAGAUCAACUUUUAAUGCUGUACCCAUUAUUUUCACGACACGUAUAUUUUUAAAAUGCCUUCAAAUUUACAGAGCAUUUUCCCAUAGUUUUCCAAAAAAUUUUCACAAGUAUAAAUUAAAUGUGUUCUCAUUCUCACUUACAGACGAGGAAACUGAGGCUCAGAGGUUUUUUUGUGUGACAUGUCCAGGGAUAUAGUUAAUAAAUAGCACAGCUAGGACUAGAACUGUCUGAUUCUAACCCAGAGCUGACCUAUUUUUUAAUAUCCAUACUAAUGUCAAUUUCUAAAUGAUCUCUCCCAAAAUAUGCCUUCAUGAGAAAAGGAUUUCACGGUCAAAUACAUUUGGAGAAAACUGUCUGCUAAAUUCCUCAUUGGUAGAAUCACAGACUUGUUCCUUUAAAGGCUGUGAGGACUACUGAAUUAAUGAAGUCCAUUUAACAUUGUUUAAUCUAAACUUAUUCCCAGGUUUAAUUAAUCAUUGAAAUUUUUUCCCCAUGUAAUUGCUACUAACAUCCAGAGUACCUGCAUUAAUAACUGUUCUAAAUGAACAACUUUUUAUCAACUAUGUUAAAAGGCCUAGGUGCUACAAAAGGCCAUAUUUCAGAGGAGAGUUUAGGAAAAUUAGAGCAUGAAAGUGUCCUGAAAAGAACAAAGGAAGUGUUUGCUUUUAUUUUUUAGUUUGUAGCCAAAAGAAUUUGCUACGCUAUAAAUGUCAUAAAAGUAAGAACUACCUCUACACUUUUUAUGAGACAUGUAGUACAAUUCACAAUUAAAAAUAUAUGUUUAACGGAGAAAAAUGACAUGAAUUUCUCAUCAGUACUAUCAGCCAUAAACAAUUUUUUAUCAGAAAACAGAAAAAAACUAAGCUUAUUUUUCUAUUUGACAAGCAGCAUGGCACUGAGGUGGUAUUCUGAUGUAAAAACAUCGUUUAAAAAAAAAAAAGCUUUUUAAGGGUCUUUAAGGGACUUCUUAGCAUCAUCACUUAAUGACUUGAUCAAUGCCCCAUGCAGAAUUUUCUUAAAGGGUCACAUUAAUGUAAAUGAUGUACCAGAGGGUCUUCAAAUGUAUUAGAAAAUAUUAAUCUUGCAAUUGAAGAGAAGAAAAAUUGUUUCCUAAUGGUACUUUUUUUUCCUUAAUAAUCAAUUUUCAUUCCUUUCCCCCCUUUUCUAGUCAUUCUCAUUCACUUACUUUAACCAACGUGAAUUCCUUAUUUCAGAACUCUUACAGUAAAAGAAUUUCAAAAGUCAGGCAGAGUGGGUGGAAAUUGAUAGCGUGAUAUAUAUAAAUUCUUCAGAUGAGUAUUAAUUUAGCAGAUUCUGCUCCUCUCUCCCUCUACCAAAGUGGAACAGAAAGCUGAAAUCUAAAGCGUUUAAUUAUACCACAUUUCAGUCAGUUCACUAGAUUAUAUCCCUUAGCUCCAUGAAUUGCCCAUGAGUGAGAACUCUGCUUGUGAUAAAAGGUCAAAAACAAUUUUGAACAAUACAAUUUUUCUUCAAAUAUUUAGUUCUUGCCUGCAUAAUUAUCUACAUGUACACAUGUGUAUACACACACACACACCACAUACAUGGAGUUUAGCAACUUCUCUUUCAAAAAAUAACAUUGUCAUUGGUAAGAGAAUUUGAAAAGCCAGCAGCCAUUGAGAAAAUCUGAAAACAGCUUGGGGACUACCAAAUUAUAGCACACUUGGAUUUAAUCCUAGAGCUUGCUCCCUGUUACCCUUAUCCACAAAUACUAGGAAUUUCAUCUUGCUCUAACUGCAAUGCCAGAUCCAAGACAUGUCUGUGACCUACACCACAGCUCAUGGCAACACCAAGUCCUUAACCCACUGAGUGAGGCUAAGGACCGAACCCAUAUCCUCAUGGAUACUAGUCGGGUUUGUAACCUGCUGAGCCACAACAGGAACUCUUUACACGCAAGGAAAUAUUUAACGGCUCAUCUGCAGUUUUAGGAGAGUGAAGCAGGAAUGAAAAAUUGGGUCGGUUUCAAUUCAAAUAGAUGUUGUCGUACAUGAGUCUCUUUAAACUAAAAACAGAAAAGCUAGGAAUCUGUUCUGUGCAGUUUUGGCAAUCGACGUU
rnacentral:lncRNA from 1 species